CUAUAAUAUCGCAAUAAAAGACCCUUAUCCACCAAAAUGCAUAAAAAUGGUUCUAGCGGUUUCCGAGAAAUUACCGUGUUUCCAUAUUUUCUCGCUACCCUGUAUAAUAAACACCUAGAAACAGAAGUUCCCAGGCAACCAAGUGACGUCAACAACGUCGAGGAAACGUCAGUAUUUGGUGGAAUAUAUACACGUAGUUGAACAUUACGUCAUAUCGACGUCUUUUGUAGAUGAUUUUAAAUACGUAAGAUUAAUGACGUUAAAAUACGUUUAAAAGACGUUUUCAUUUCAGCCAGCCUAAAUCUGACGUCACGAAAUUGGGAGGAGCUUGGAGCUUAAAAGUUACAAAACUAGGGUUAUGUUUGUAUCAUCGUUGUCGUUUGUCGUUUCAUUUCAUUGUUUGUUUGUCCUAGUAUUUUGCCUUUUUUGGAUUCAUUUGGAUUUUGUUGGCUGUUUUGUGUGUAUUUUUUAAAACUUCUGUUUGUCAUUUGUAAAUUUUAUAAAUUUACCACAAUGCAAAGUGAUUAUUUAAGGAAAUUAUUAAUGGAAACUCCGCAGAUGUUUUAGAAAGAUAUUCAUUGAAGCUGAAAAUAAUUGGAGAUUUAGAUCCAUAUACAAUUCAGUCAUCAGAAUUGGAUUUUACAGUGCAUUCCUUCAAUUACUGUUAUAAUGCUAUUAUAGAUAGACUGCUAGAGUCUCACAGUUACUGCUUUAAGCAGCAGAUGAAAGCAUACAAAAGCCUUCAGGCACAUAAAAGCCUUCACAACUGGAUUUGUUUUGAAACAUUGACGUUUUGAUGAUUUCUAUAUUAUUGUUGGAAAGGUGAAAAAUUCCCAAAAAGCUAAUGCUAAACCGCUAGAUGCUUCGGUGAAUAGCCAGUUCCAAUGGCAUAGCAAAUGCACAUUGUAUGUGUAUGGCCAGUAAUAGUGAAAUUUGCGGCCAUAUUGCAGCAAUCUUAUUUGCAGCUGAGUAUGCCCACAGCAAGACAGAAGAAGAAGAACCCAAUGCAUGUACAGAUGUUACAGCUAUGUACAUUCUCUGGUGAAAAACUAAUGAGUUUUCAAGCUGUUCGGUCAGAGUGCUUGUUGCGCUCUCUAAACGAACUGAUAUAUAAGACGGCUUUGGCUUCAUGUUGCAGUGAUAUGAAAAUGGUUAGUCAUUUUUAAUUAUAAUGUACUUCUUCAUCAUGAGUAUUUAUGUAUAGGGCUUUUCAUUCACAGUCAUUUGUUUCGAGCUUCUGUCAUGUGUCACAUAAUAUUAAUAUUAUAUCUACGUCAUACGUUAUUGGUAUAUAUCAAUGAUACACACCAAAGACAUAUGGCAUAGAUAUAUUAAUAUUAUGUGACACAUGACAGAUGCUCGAAACAAAUGACAGUCGAUAAAAAGCCCUAUUAGUCUUUUAAGUGUGUAUUAUCAGAUAUCACAUGUAAAUUGUUUUUAUCAUGUUAAUUUGGUCAUUACAGUCCCUUAAUCAAAAAAUAUAUUUUUCAGGUGUCUGUGGAUCUUUUUGUAUGCAAAAAUUUGUAAUAAUUAUUUGAAAUCAUUUUGAGGAUUAUUAGAGUAUGGAAAUAUAUGUGAGAACACAUACUAUUAUAGUUUUGUCCUAUUUUUUAUCAUUCAAUAGUCUUCUUAAAAUUUAUAAAUAUAAAGCAGAUAGUUUUCAUUGAAAUUCAAUAUAUUGGGUCUUAUUUGUAUGUAUUCAUUUUUGACUAAAGGUACGAUUCCGAUAACGACUGCAGACAGCAACUGCAAACAUCAGUUGCAGUUCUCGGCGUUAUGGACGUUACUACUUUGCACUAUUUAUCUGUAUGAGACUUAUUCCGACAUCUGACUGCAACUGCUGUCUGGCAGAACGUCAGUUGCUAAUAAUUAUGCAAAUUAUUAGUGCAAAAUAAUGACGUCUGUCAUGGUGACAACUGUAACUGCCAUCUGCAGUCGUUGUCGGAAUCGUACCUUUAAAGUGUGUGGUAUACCUAAUUAUAAUAAUUAUAUAUAUAUAUUAUAUAACUUAAAUGGUUUAAACUUAAGUUUGUUAUUACAUUGUGACUUAAAUGUUUAAUUUGUUAAUAAAUGAUUUAUUAGUUUA